rnacentral:lncRNA from 1 species
CGCGCCCAGGCACUGCGGAGGGCCAGCCCCACGUGGGGGGUGGGGAGGGAUGCCCGCUCCGCCCCGUCCCCUCCGCGCCGGGCCUCGUCUCAGCCCGCCACGGAGUGGGCGGGACGCCAGGCAGGCGGGGGACGCGGCGGCUGCCAGCCAAGGGGCCGGAGCCAAGAGAUUUGCAUUGGAAGCGCCAUCCUCUUGCGCGUCUGAUGAGGAAGCAGAACCCGGUGACCGACUGAGCUGCAUUUCUGAAGCAUUUGCUGGGUUUUGCCUCACUAAGCCUCGGGGAGCACUGGGGCGCGGGAUGGGGGACCCUGUCACGGAGCCGACACCUGCUCGCGCGCCUCUCCCCCGCUCACGCCGUGCCGCGGGCUCGCCCUCCCCAUCUGCAGCGCCCGCAGCGCCUGCCCGCCCCGCCCAUCCUUCCUCCUGGGCAACCCAGAGGAUGGCGUGAGGACUCCUGGAAGCCCAGAGGACCGGACCAGGGGCGUGGUGGGGAGCCGUAGACCCGAGUUUUUAUCCUUCUCUGGCGCCGACACUCGGCUGCGGAAUCGAGUUUGAGCUCGGUGUAGCUGAAGUUUAAAUUGUAGCUGUUUCAAAGGUAGACCCCACCUCACCCCCACCCCUGGACCAAGACCUCUGGAAGCGUCCUGCCUGGAAGCCGCUUGUGGGGAGGGCUCUCCUAGGGUCUCCAGGCUCCCGCUGGAGCACGCCUGGAGAUGCCUUGGGAGUCUGAGGAACCCCAGAUUCAGCACCCCUGCUUAACCUGCUUUUAAGAAGAAAAAAAUGGAACUUGAUAAACUUCACUCAAAGGAGAGACCCACUAAUAACUCCACACACCUCACACCGAGUGAAGGUCUGGCUGUCCCUCUGUCUUCAUCUUUUCAGGCUGCUGUAAUAAAAUGCUAUAAGUGGGUGACUUAUAAACAACAGAAAUUUAUUUCUCACAGUUCUGGAGGCUAGAAUGUUCAAGAUCAAGGUGCCAGCAGAUUCACUGUUUUAUCAGGGCACUCUUUCUCAUAGAUGGAGCUUUCUCACUGUGCCCUCAGACAGUAGAAGGGACAAACAGGUUCCCUUGGGCCUAUUUCCUAAGGGCACUAAUCCCAGAGCCCGCAUGACCUAAUCACCUCCCAAAAGGCCCCAGGUCCAAG